rnacentral:rRNA from 1 species
GGUUAAGCGACUAAGCGUACACGGUGGAUGCCCUGGCAGUCAGAGGCGAUGAAGGGCGUGCUAAUCUGCGAUAAGCGCCGGUAAGGUGAUAUGAACCGUUAUAACCGGCGAUACCCGAAUGGGGAAACCCAGUGUGACUCGUCACACUAUCAUUAACUGAAUCCAUAGGUUAAUGAGGCGAACCGGGGGAACUGAAACAUCUAAGUACCCCGAGGAAAAGAAAUCAACCGAGAUUCCCCCAGUAGCGGCGAGCGAACGGGGAGGAGCCCAGAGCCUGAAUCAGCAUGUGUGUUAGUGGAAGCGUCUGGAAAGGCGCGCGAUACAGGGUGACAGCCCCGUACACAAAAGCGCAUGUGCUGUGAGCUCGAUGAGUAGGGCGGGACACGUGGUAUCCUGUCUGAAUAUGGGGGGACCAUCCUCCAAGGCUAAAUACUCCUGACUGACCGAUAGUGAACCAGUACCGUGAGGGAAAGGCGAAAAGAACCCCGGCGAGGGGAGUGAAAAAGAACCUGAAACCGUGUACGUACAAGCAGUGGGAGCACCUUCGGGUGUGACUGCGUACCUUUUGUAUAAUGGGUCAGCGACUUAUAUUCUGUAGCAAGGUUAACCGUAUAGGGGAGCCGGAGGGAAACCGAGUCUUAACCGGGCGUUAAGUUGCAGGGUAUAGACCCGAAACCCGGUGAUCUAGCCAUGGGCAGGUUGAAGGUUGGGUAACACUAACUGGAGGACCGAACCGACUAAUGUUGAAAAAUUAGCGGAUGACCUGUGGCUGGGGGUGAAAGGCCAAUCAAACCGGGAGAUAGCUGGUUCUCCCCGAAAGCUAUUUAGGUAGCGCCUCGUGAAUUCAUCUCCGGGGGUAGAGCACUGUUUCGGC